CCCGCUGAACUUAAGCAUAUCAAUAAGCGGAGGAAAAGAAACUAACAAGGAUUCCCCUAGUAACUGCGAGUGAAGCGGGAAAAGCUCAAAUUUAAAAUCUGGUGGCCUUCAGCCAUCCGAGUUGUAAUUUAGAGAAGCGUCUUCCGCGCUGGACCGUGCACAAGUCUCCUGGAAUGGAGCGUCGUAGAGGGUGAGAAUCCCGUCUUUGGCACGGACGCACCAGGGCUUCUGUGAUGCGCUCUCGAAGAGUCGAGUUGUUUGGGAAUGCAGCUCAAAAUGGGUGGUGAACUCCAUCUAAAGCUAAAUAUUGGCGAGAGACCGAUAGCGAACAAGUACCGUGAGGGAAAGAUGAAAAGCACUUUGAAAAGAGAGUCAAACAGUACGUGAAAUUGCUGAAAGGGAAACGCUUGAAGUCAGUCGCGCCCCCUGGAAUUCAGCCCUGCUUUUGUAGGGUGUACUUCCCAGGAGGCGGGCCAACAUCAGGUUUGACCGUCAGAUAAAGUCUGGGGGAAUGUGGCUCGUUCGUGAGAGUUAUAUCCCCCGGUCACAUAUGCCGGUUGGGAUUGAGGAAUCCAGCGCUCCCCUGUGGCAGGUCUUGGAGCACUUUCGCGCUUAGGAUGUUGGCAUAAUGGCUUUAAGCGACCCGUCUUGAAACACGG
rnacentral:rRNA from 1 species